AUUGAACGCUGGCGGCAGGCCUAACACAUGCAAGUCGAGCGGAUGAAGGGAGCUUGCUCCUGGAUUCCGCGGCGGACGGGUGAGUAAUGCCUAGGAAUCUGCCUGGUAGUGGGGGAUAACGUCCGGAAACGGGCGCUAAUACCGCAUACGUCCUGAGGGAGAAAGUGGGGGAUCUUCGGACCUCACGCUAUCAGAUGAGCCUAGGUCGGAUUAGCUAGUUGGUGGGGUAAAGGCCUACCAAGGCGACGAUCCGUAACUGGUCUGAGAGGAUGAUCAGUCACACUGGAACUGAGACACGGUCCAGACUCCUACGGGAGGCAGCAGUGGGGAAUAUUGGACAAUGGGCGAAAGCCUGAUCCAGCCAGGCCGCGUGUGUGAAGAAGGUCUUCGGAUUGGAAAGCACUUUAAGUGGGGAGGAAGGGCAGUAAGUUAAUACCUUGCUGUUUUGACGUUACCAACAGAAUAAGCACCGGCUAACUUCGUG
rnacentral:rRNA from 1 species